rnacentral:lncRNA from 1 species
CAGUGACAAGCAAGAUCUUCCAUGCAGAAAUCAAAGCUAUCAUGGCAAACGAUGGAGCAAUAGACCUCAAGACCAAGGCCAGUGAUUUAAAUCAGGAAAGAACAACGUGUGAAUUGAAGUUGGUAAUAAUCAAUAUACCAUGGGGAUCAUGUGAAACACAAAGGUUUGGUAGAUGUCGGUUCAUGAGCAAUGCAACAGAUAGAAGGUAUUGGGUCUCAACGGAUCAGAGGUAUUUUCUGUGAUGAGGGUGACCGAGAAAGUGGUCAGUCAAUAAACAGGCAAGGUCUUUCAAAUUGAAACCAAAGUUAUCAUGGGAAGUGAAGGAGCAAUCGCCCUCAAAGUCAAUGCCACAAACCAAGCACCAUAUUUAUAAACUCACAAGUUUUCUUUGUUUGAAACAAGGGACGCAAAUUGUGUCCAAAUCAAAGCUUGGAAGUUUGAAUUUUUUUCAAGUGUUAUGCCCAAAUUUUGUCAGCACAAAGACGGUUUGAGAAGGGAAAAGGAAAUUUGUUCAAUCUGUUGGAACCCUCCAUGAGGAAAAGCAUGGUUCAGAGGUAAGGAAUUUUGUUCGUUCUGCAGAGAUCCUCUAGAAAGAAAGCAUGGCUUAGUUAAGUUCAUUCUCGGCUCUUCAAGACCCUCAUGGAUAAUGGGAUUUAGUUUUAAGUGUUCAGGACCCUCCUGGACAAUGGGAUUUAGUUCUAAGACCUUCAUAGAAAAUAAGAUUUAGCAUAAGUUUUACCUUUAGGAAAUAGGAUUUAGCUUUGAAUUUGUCACUCUUAAGGUUAGAUUUAUUUUGAAAUUUUCAGGACCCUCCUGGAAAAUGGGACCUAGUUUAAAAUUCAAAACAAUCAUGAGUAGCAAGAUCUAGUAUAAAUGUACCCCAAAAGGAUAUAAGUUGGCUUUAAAGCUUUCAUUCUUAGGAUAUGAUUUAAUUUAAAGUUUUCAGGACCCUCCUGGAAAAUGGGACCUAGUUUAAAAAUCGAAACAAUCAUAAGUAGCAAAAUCUAGCAUAAAUGUACCCCAAGGAAUAUAAGUUGGUUUCAAAGUUUGCAUGUUUGAGAUAUGAUUCAAUUAGGAGUUUUCAGGACCCUCCUGAAUAAUGGGACCUAGCUUUAAGAUUUCCAUUAGAUAACAAGGUUUAGCAUAAGUUCUAUUGUAGGGUAAUAUAAUUUAGCAGUAAAAUUGUCACCCUUAAGAUAAGACUUGAUUUUUGAUUGUCAGGACCCUCCUGGAUAAUGGGACGUAGUUUAAAACUGGCUUGCAUAACAAGAUUUAGUGGAAGUAACACCUUUAGAAGAUAUAACUUAGAUUUAAAAUUGUCGUUUAGUUAAGAGUUGUCAGGACCCUCCUGGAUAGUGGGGAGUAGUUUAAGACCCUAUUAGAUAACAAGAUUUAGCGGAAGUCAUACCUUUAAAAGAUAUAGCUUAAUUUAAAAUUGUCGUUUAGUUAAGAGUUGUCAGGACCCCCCUGGAUAAUGGGACCUAGAUUUCAAAUUCUUAGUAAUAUGAUUCAGUUUAACACUCACAUAUGUGCCCAACUACCAAACUGGGGUAGAAAAUUUUCUUUGUUUUGUCUAGUUUUGUUAAAAUUAGGUACCCACUUGGAGAGCAAGGGAAUACAAUUCAAGUUCAGCAAUCAGGCGCCCACCUGGAGAGCAAGAGAAUACAAUUCAAUUUCAGCAAUCAGGCGNNNNNNNNNNNNNNNNNNNNNNNNNUAAAACUUGAUUUUUGAUUUUCAGGACCCUCAUGGAUAAUGAGAUGUAGUUUUAAGACUGUAUUAGAUAACAAGAUUCAACUGUAGUCAGACCUUUAGAGAAUAUAAUGUAGCUUUGAAACUUGCAUUUUACUAGAAAUUUUCAGGACCCUCCUGGAUAAUGGGAUCUAGCUUGCAGAUUAUUAGAAAUAUUUGAUAAAAUGAUUCAAAUAACACUCACAGAUGUGCCCGGCUACCAAACUGGGGCAGAAAAUUUUCUUUUGUUUUGUCUAUUUUGUUGAAAGUCAGAUACCCGUCUGAAGAACAGGGAAGAGCAACACGAAUGUUAAGGACAAAAAACAGUUCAGGAUCAAGUAAUCAGGAGCCCACCUGGAGAACAAGGAAAAACAAAUCAAGUUUCAAGGAAGAUUGGCACAAGUAUUGGUAAUCAAGCACCCACCUGGAGGAACAAGGGAGAACAAGUCAAAGAAAGGCAGUUGCAAGAAGAAGAUGGACCAAGUUUCAAAGAUCAGGCAUCCACCUAGAGAACAAGGAACAACAAUUAAAGUAUCAGCAAUCAGACGUCCACCUGGAGAACAAUGAAAAACAGUUGAAGUAUCAGCAAUCAGGCGUCCACCUGGAGAACAAGGAAAAACAGUUCAAGUAUCAGCAAUCAGGCGUCCACCUGGAGAACAAGGAAAAGAAGUUGAAGAUUCAGUAAUCAGGCAUCCACCUGGAGAACAAGGAACAACAAUUAAAGUUUCAGCAAUCAGGCGCCCACCUGGAGAGCAAGGGAAUACAACUUGGGUCAAGCAGUCAGGAGCCCACCUGGAGAACAAGGGAACACAACCUAAGCUUUAGAAUUCAGAUGCCCAUCUGAAGAACAUGGAAGGACAACACUAAUUUCAAAGAAAUAAAAAACAGUUCAAGUUUUGGUAAUCAGGAGCCUACCUGGAAAACAAGGGAGGCAAUACAAUUCAAGUUUCGGUAAUCAGGAGCCCGUCUGAAAAACAAGGGAGGCAAUGCAAUUCAAGU